AACGAACGCUGGCGGCAUGCCUAACACAUGCAAGUCGAACGAGACCUUCGGGCCUAGUGGCGCACGGGUGCGUAACGCGUGGGAACCUGCCCUUAGGUUCGGAAUAACUCCCCGAAAGGGGUGCUAAUACCGGAUAAUGUCUUCGGACCAAAGAUUUAUCGCCUUUGGAUGGGCCCGCGUUGGAUUAGCUAGUUGGUAGGGUAAAAGCCUACCAAGGCGACGAUCCAUAGCUGGUCUGAGAGGAUGAUCAGCCACACUGGGACUGAGACACGGCCCAGACUCCUACGGGAGGCAGCAGUGGGGAAUAUUGUACAAUGGACGAAGGCCUGAUCCAGCAAUGCCGCGUGAGUGAUGAAGGCCUUAGGGUUGUGAAGCUCUUUUACCCGGGAUGAUAAUGACGGUACCGGGAGAAUAAGCUCCGGCUAACUACGUG
rnacentral:rRNA from 1 species